rnacentral:tRNA from 1 species
GCGGGCGUGGCGGAACUGGUAGACGCAACGGACUUAAGCCAAGGAUUGAGUGCGCCCGGGGAAAUCCGGGACGUAGAACUGCUCAAAUUCGGGGAACCCUGUCAGAUGGCGAUCCCGAGCCAAGCCCUCUUUCGAGGGAAGGUGUAGAGACUAGACGGGCAGCACCUAACCUCCGGCUUUCGGAGCACGGUGAAGGGAUAGUCCAGACCACGAACGGCCCGGUCACGGGGCGGCGGCGAAAGCCGAAGUGGUACGAAAAUCCGUCAGCCGCAAGGCUAUGCCGGUUCGAUUCCGGCCGCCCGCACCA